GCUGUGGAAUUUAGCCAAUUCAGAGGUCUUGUUCCCCGUAAUGUGGAACUUUCCUUCAGAUUUGAUCAAGUUGGAUAGAGUUGGUCAAACCCAAUUGUCAGGCCUCUGAGCUCAAGCUAAGCCAUCAUAUCCCCUGUGAUCUGCACGUACACAUCCAGAUGGCUGGUUCCUGCCUUAACUGAUGACAUUCCACCACAAAAGAAGUGAAAAUGGCCUGUUCGUGCCUUAACUGAUGACAUUGUCUUGUGAAAUUCCUUCUCCUGGCUCAUCCUGGCUCAAAAGCUCCCCCACUGAGUACCUUGUGACCCCCCACUCCUGCCCGCCAGAGAACAAUUCCCUUUGACUGUAAUUUUCCUUUAUCUACCCAAAUCCUAUAAAACGGCCCCACCCUUAUCUCCCUUCGCUGACUCUCUUUUUGGACUCAGCCCACCUGCACCCAGGUGAAAUAAACAGCCUUGUUGCUCACACAAAGCCUGUUUGGUGGUCUCUUCACAGGGACACGCAUGAAAUUUGGUGCCGUGACUUGGAUCGGGGGACCUCCCUUGGGAGAUCAAUCCCCUGUCCUCCUGCUCUCUGCUCUGUGAGAAAGAUGCACCUACGACCUCAGGUCCUCAGACCGACCAGCCCAAGAAACAUCUCACUAAUUUCAAAUCUGACAGGAAUGUCAGGCCUCUGAGCUCAAGCUAAGCCAUCAUAUCCCCUGUGACCUGCACGUACACAUCCAGAUGGCCGGUUCCUGCCUUAACUGAUGACAUUCCACCACGAAAGAAGUGAAAAUGACCUGUUCGUGCCUUAACUGAUGACAUUGUCUUGUGAAAUUCCUUCUCCUGGCUCAUCCUGGCUCAAAAGCUCCCCCACUGAGUACAUUGUGACCCCCACUCCUGCCCGCCAGAGAACAGCCCCCUUUGACUGUAAUUUUCCUUUAUCUACCCAAAUCCUAUAAAACAGCCCCACCUUUAUCUCCCUUGGCUGACUCUCUUUUCGGACUCAGCCCGCCUGCACCCAGGUGAAAUAAACAGCCUUGUUGCUA
rnacentral:lncRNA from 1 species